rnacentral:rRNA from 1 species
GAUGAACGCUGGCGGCGUGCUUAACACAUGCAAGUCGAACGGUGAAAGAGAGCUUGCUCUCUGGAUCAGUGGCGAACGGGUGAGUAACACGUGAGCAAUCUGCCCCUGACUCUGGGAUAAGCGCUGGAAACGGCGUCUAAUACCGGAUACGAGCUGCGAAGGCAUCUUCAGCAGCUGGAAAGAACUUCGGUCAGGGAUGAGCUCGCGGCCUAUCAGCUAGUUGGUGAGGUAAUGGCUCACCAAGGCGUCGACGGGUAGCCGGCCUGAGAGGGUGACCGGCCACACUGGGACUGAGACACGGCCCAGACUCCUACGGGAGGCAGCAGUGGGGAAUAUUGCACAAUGGGCGCAAGCCUGAUGCAGCAACGCCGCGUGAGGGACGACGGCCUUCGGGUUGUAAACCUCUUUUAGCAGGGAAGAAGCGAAAGUGACGGUACCUGCAGAAAAAGCACCGGCUAACUACGUGCCAGCAGCCGCCGCAGUAA